rnacentral:rRNA from 1 species
GACGGAGGGGGCAAGCGUUGUCCGGACUUACUGGGCGUAAAGCGCACGUAGGCGGCGCGGUGCGUCGGUGCUGAAAGCGCCCCGCUUAACGGGGCGAGGUGUGCCGAUACGACCGGGCUGGAGGCCGACAGAGGGUGGCGGAAUUCCGGGUGUAGUGGUGAAAUGCGUAGAGAUCCGGAGGAACGCCUGUGGCGCAAGCGGCCACCUGGGUCGGACCUGACGCUGAGGUGCGAAAGCGUGGGGAG